rnacentral:rRNA from 1 species
UACGUAGGGUGCAGGCGUUAAUCGGAAUUACUGGGCGUAAAGCGUGCGCAGGCGGCUCCUUAAGUCAGAUGUGAAAUCCCCGGGCUUAACCUGGGAACUGCGUUUGAAACUGGGGGGCUUGAGUGUGGCAGAGGGGGGUGGAAUUCCAGGUGUAGCAGUGAAAUGCGUAGAUAUCUGGAGGAACACCAAUGGCGAAGGCAGCCCCCUGGGCUAACACUGACGCUCAUGCACGAAAGCGUGGGGAGCAAACAGG